AACACCAGAGGAUAGGCUGCCAGUGGUGGCCAUCAUCAUUACCUUACUGUCACCGCAGAUGGCUAUCACCGGCGCGUCCGGUUCCGACUCACCAGACGUCCAAGCUCCUCUCCUAUACGACACCGUCGAGGGCUGCGUUGAUUACAAAGGCCGUCCCGUUUAUAAAUCCAAUUCAGGCGGCUGGAGAUCUGCGUCUUUUAUAAUAGGAGUGGAGGUUGCAGAGAGAUUUGCCUUCUAUGGGAUAUCGUCGAACCUUAUUACGUAUUUGACCGGGCCACUUGGUCAGUCGACGGCUACUGCGGCGGAGAACGUCAACGCCUGGUCGGGAACGGCGUCG
rnacentral:misc_RNA from 1 species